AUUGAACGCUGGCGGCAGGCCUAACACAUGCAAGUCGAGCGGAUGAAGGGAGCUUGCUCCUGGAUUCAGCGGCGGACGGGUGAGUAAUGCCUAGGAAUCUGCCUGGUAGUGGGGGAUAACGUCCGGAAACGGGCGCUAAUACCGCAUACGUCCUGAGGGAGAAAGUGGGGGAUCUUCGGACCUCACGCUAUCAGAUGAGCCUAGGUCGGAUUAGCUAGUUGGUGGGGUAAAGGCCUACCAAGGCGACGAUCCGUAACUGGUCUGAGAGGAUGAUCAGUCACACUGGAACUGAGACACGGUCCAGACUCCUACGGGAGGCAGCAGUGGGGAAUAUUUGGACAAUGGGCGAAAGCCUGAUCCAGCCAUGCCGCGUGCGUGAAGAAGGUCUUCGGAUUGUAAAGCCCUUUUGUUGGG
rnacentral:rRNA from 1 species